AUGCAUAUAUGGCAGGUAAGACUCCAUGAUCAUGAUGGUGACUCUCCCCAGGGGAGGCUCAUCCAUUCACUUCUGAUGUUUUGAUCCUAGUGUUUUCCUCAAAAAGAACUCGGCUACACAGUUUGUGGUGGUGGAGUACUGUGUCUCCAUUUUCUUUUA